rnacentral:rRNA from 2 species
UGGGGGAUAUUGCACAAUGGGGGAAACCCUGAUGCAGCAACGCCGCGUGAGGGAAGAAGGUUUUCGGAUUGUAAACCUCUGUCCUCGGUGACGAAACAAAUGACGGUAGCCGAGGAGGAAGCCACGGCUAACUACGUGCCAGCAGCCGCGGUAAUACGUAGGUGGCAAGCGUUGUCCGGAAUUACUGGGUGUAAAGGGUGCGCAGGCGGGUAUUCAAGUCAGAUGUCAAAUCUAUGGGCUCAACCCAUAGUCGCAUUUGAAACUGUAUAUCUUGAGUGAAGUAGAGGUAGGCGGAAUUCCGAGUGUAGCGGUGAAAUGCGUAGAUAUUCGGAGGAACACCAGUGGCGAAGGCGGCCUACUGGGCUUUAACUGACGCUGAGGCACGAAAGCAUGGGGAGCAAACAGG